CUUCUCAACUCUAAACCCUAAAACUUAAACUCUAAACCCUAAACCCUAAAUUAUAAACCCUAAACCCCAUCCUUUGAGUGCUAUUUUUGUGACUUUUGGCCUUGAGUGCUAGUUUGGGAACAAAAACUUGAUUUAGUGCUAUUUUGAUCUUUUUCUUUAUUUUAAAUCUUAGAGAAAAUUAAAAUUGAUUUUGUUUUUAUUUUUUGUCAACUUGUCUCUUCGAAAAACUCGGAAAAGGUGAAACGGAUCCAUUGUAUUUGUAUGUUUUUCCUUAUUCCCAAGUGUUUUUUUUUCUUUGAUCAAAUAUAAACCAUUUCCCAAGUGUUAUAUUCCAGUUUUUAAGAGUCUUUUUCUAUGAAAAUCUGCUAGUUUAAAAAAAUAAAGGUUGGUAUUGAUGAAUUCAAUGUAUAGAUUAACUCUAACGUUAUAUCUUGAAAUUCAGCUGCAACAAAAUAGCUCUUGAAAUUUUAGAUUUGAAUAGAUAAUGCACUUGUUACUUCAUGUAUAACGUGUGUAGGUAACAACUAAAUGUAUAUUUUCGGUUCAUUGGAUGAAAGAAUCUAACGUUUCUUGAGCUAUAUAUUUUAUCAUGUACGUAGUAGUUGGAAAAGUUGUAUAGUUAUGUUAUACAGUACGUACAACAAGAUAGUCGUCCUUGUUAUUUUAUAUAGCAUAUUCUUUUAUAAGAAAAAGUUUGAUAUUUUCAUUGGUUAAUACAACUACUGCAACAGGAAAAUUCAAAAGAGCGAAACAUGAAUGUGACAUCAGUAAUAUAAACGUUAAUAGUAACGAUUAUGAAGAAAAGCUAACAGCAUGUGUCGGUAAAAUACUAUUCGUCGGCAACAUGGCGUUUCAACCGGCAGAUUCUUUUUAGAAAAGUUCGUUUUUUUUUUUAACUUGAAUGACCCUUUUCUUUGAUCCAAAACUACAUGGCUCAUGGGUCUAUUGUCAUGGGAGUUGAUUAUAGAAAUUUUUAUGUUUUAAGACACAUUUUCACUUUCAAUUUACACAAUCAAACACAUGUUGCUGGAGGCACACUUUCUCUGUGGUGAUUGUCUCUUAUACUCCCAAUAUUGUUUCUUCUUAACAUUCUUUCUUUCGUAGCUAACUUUUUUUUUAAAAUAAAACAACAAUAUAUCCAAUUGGACACACAUCUCAAUUAAAGAAAUAUAAUAAAAUUCAAAAUACAAUUAAUCCAUUAUCUCUCAUAUUUUUGAGACAAAAAAUUGAAAUCACUUUCAUAGUUUCUCAAAACCUAAUUGCAACGAUCCCCUUUCAUCAUCUAUCCCCGAACCUCGUCCAGCUUCGAGAAACCAUGGUGAAAUCGAAGUCGAAGAAGAAAGGGAACCUCAAUAGUCAACCUUCUUCACCGCAGAUCGACAACAGAGGUUUAUAUUUUGAAUUCUUUAACUCUUUUUGACUUUAAAGAGUUUUCGAAAUCCCUAACUUUUUAUGUUUUUCUUGUUUGUGUUGUAAUUUUCCAAUUGGAUCGAAAUUUCUGAGAUUUUGUGGAUGGGAGAGAUAAUGAGCAGAUCUGAGAGCUCCAGUGUGGAGAGGGCAACGUGACGGCGAGCAUGUCCAAGCUCCGUUGUGGAGAGGAUGACAUGACGGCCAGCAGAUCUGAGCUCCGGUGCGGAGAAACGCGGCGACGAACAGGUCAUGCCUCUAUUGUGGAAAAGAAGACGACAAGCUCUCGUGGUGUGAAGAUGGAUUUUUGGAUAAAACUUGACAUGACCACAGCAAGAAUUCAUGGAUAAUGCAGCAAGAUAUACUUGACAUGACCACAGCAAGAAUUCAUGGAUAAUGCAGCAAGAUAUUUUAACUACAUGACCACAUCAAGAGUCUAUGACGUAGUUCACAACAACAACGUCCUAAACAUCAAUCUUGUUUCCACCCAUUAAGAGUCUAUGGAUGAUGCAGCUCAACACCUCCUAUCCAGACUCCAAAACGUGGUUUAUCUACUUUCACUUGGUCUUGUAUUUCAUAUCUAUGUCAACAUAUGUAAUUACUAUAGACCAAACUUGGGGAAAGUAUGGAUAUGAACGUUUUAGUGUA